CGCUUCGGCGUGUGACUGCGUACCUUUUGUAUAAUGGGUCAGCGACUUAUAUUCUGUAGCAAGGUUAACCGAAUAGGGGAGCCGAAGGGAAACCGAGUCUUAACUGGGCGUUAAGUUGCAGGGUAUAGACCCGAAACCCGGUGAUCUAGCCAUGGGCAGGUUGAAGGUUGGGUAACACUAACUGGAGGACCGAACCGACUAAUGUUGAAAAAUUAGCGGAUGACUUGUGGCUGGGGGUGAAAGGCCAAUCAAACCGGGAGAUAGCUGGUUCUCCCCGAAAGCUAUUUAGGUAGCGCCUCGUGAAUUCAUCUCCGGGGGUAGAGCACUGUUUCGGCAAGGGGGUCAUCCCGACUUACCAACCCGAUGCAAACUGCGAAUACCGGAGAAUGUUAUCACGGGAGACACACGGCGGGUGCUAACGUCCGUCGUGAAGAGGGAAACAACCCAGACCGCCAGCUAAGGUCCCAAAGUCAUGGUUAAGUGGGAAACGAUGUGGGAAGGCCCAGACAGCCAGGAUGUUGGCUUAGAAGCAGCCAUCAUUUAAAGAAAGCGUAAUAGCUCACUGGUCGAGUCGGCCUGCGCGGAAGAUGUAACGGGGCUAAACCAUG
rnacentral:rRNA from 1 species